rnacentral:rRNA from 1 species
ACCCGCUGAACUUAAGCAUAUCAAUAGGCGGAGG